GACGAACGCUGGCGGCGUGCCUAAUACAUGCAAGUUGAGCGCUGAAGGUUGGUACUUGUACCAACUGGAUGAGCAGCGAACGGGUGAGUAACGCGUGGGGAAUCUGCCUUUGAGCGGGGGACAACAUUUGGAAACGAAUGCUAAUACCGCAUAAAAACUUUAAACACAAGUUUUAAGUUUGAAAGAUGCAAUUGCAUCACUCAAAGAUGAUCCCGCGUUGUAUUAGCUAGUUGGUGAGGUAAAGGCUCACCAAGGCGAUGAUACAUAGCCGACCUGAGAGGGGGAGCGGCCACAUUGGGACGGAGACACGGCCCAAACGCCUACGAGAGGCAGCAGUAGGGAAUCUUCGGCGAUGGACGAAAGUCUGACCGAGCAACGCCGCGUGAGUGAAGAAGGUUUUCGGAUCGUAAAACUCUGUUGGUAGAGAAGAACGUUGGUGAGAGUGGAAAGCUCAUCAAGUGACGGUAACUACCCAGAAAGGGACGGCUAACUACGUG
rnacentral:rRNA from 1 species